UGGGGAAUAUUGCACAAUGGGCGAAAGCCUGAUGCAGCGACGCCGCGUGAGGGAUGACGGCCUUCGGGUUGUAAACCUCUUUCAGCAGGGCCGAAGCGCAAGUGACGGUACCUGCAGAAGAAGCACCGGCUAACUACGUGCCAGCAGCCGCGGUAAUACGUAGGGUGCAAGCGUUGUCCGGAAUUACUGGGCGUAAAGAGUUCGUAGGCGGUUUGUCGCGUCGUUUGUGAAAACCAGCAGCUCAACUGCUGGCUUGCAGGCGAUACGGGCAGACUUGAGUACUGCAGGGGAAACUGGAAUUCCUGGUGUAGCGGUGAAAUGCGCAGAUAUCAGGAGGAACACCGGUGGCGAAGGCGGGUCUCUGGGCAGUAACUGACGCUGAGGAACGAAAGCGUGGGUAGCGAACAGG
rnacentral:rRNA from 1 species